rfam:Gossypium raimondii chromosome 8, whole genome shotgun sequence.
AAUCCAUGCGUCGAACAUUUCAAAAUUAAAUCUUUGAAUCGUUCCCAAGCUUCAUAUAGUGUUUCAUCCUCUAAUUGUCAAAAAUAUGUGAUGUCAUUUCUAAGAUU